GUGUGGAAGCCACACACUUUUGCCUUGGCCACAACUUUUUGGCAGAUAAAUUGUGAAGUCUAGAAAUCAGUGCAUAGAGGACGGAUGAAUCACUCUUGUGAGGACAUAGUGAAGUAGCAUGAUGUGACUGUAUUCUCAGUAGUGGACCAGAUUAUCAGAGAAGGAUGGUAAUUUUCUUCCUUCCUUGUCAUUCCUUUAGCUUGGAAAGUGAUGCAAUUAUUUUUCAUGAACUAGCACAAUAAGGAAUCUUUUUUAAGUUUUUUUAUCCUUGUUUUAUUGUCUAUCUUUCAAGCUUGGAGCUUGCCUUUUCGUUUAGAUAAAGAUGCUUGCUUCUACUAUUGUGAUAUUUGUGCAUUGGUUGUUUUCAGAAUAUAUGAACACUCACAAGAUCACUUCACUACUCUGAAUUGCUGUUGCGUGAUUGCGUGAUGCACUGCUUUGGAUGCUGGUGCAGAUGCACCGUUCUGAUGUGAUGGGGUGGUCGAAAAUGAGAUUUUAUUGCUUUCAGUCUAGUAGAUACCCUUAUUAUGGUUCCAUGAAAUUUUAGUAGUCACUCAUUCUUGAGUUUGUACUUUGUACUGUUCUGUUUUGUCCUAGGCAGGGCUUGAACCUUUUUGUUCUGAGUUAUAUUGAGGGUUUCAUAUAGAAAGAACCUAUCUAGUAUGGUCUUUG
rnacentral:sRNA from 1 species